UACAGAGGUCUCAACCGUUGUCCGGAUUUACUGGGCGUAAAGAGCGCGCAGGCGGCUGGUCAAGUCCGAUGUGAAAUCUCCCGGCUCAACUGGGAAACUGCAUCGGAAACUGAUCGGCUUGAAGAUGGGAGAGGGUAGUGGAAUUCCCGGUGUAGUGGUGAAAUGCGUAGAUAUCGGGAGGAACACCAGUGGCGAAGGCGACUACCUGGCCCAUUCUUGACGCUGAGGCGCGAAAGCUAGGGGAGCGAACAGG
rnacentral:rRNA from 1 species